GACGAAGGAUGCAAGGCGUUAUCCGGAUUCAUUGGGUUUAAAGGGAGCGUAGGCGGACUUGUAAGUUCAGUGGUGAAAUCUGUGGGCUUAACCCACAAACUGCCAUUGAUACUGCAGGUCUAGAGGUACAGUUACCGUUGGCGGAAUAAUGACAUGUAGUGGUGAAAUAACUUAGAUAUGUCAUAGAACACCGGAUUGCGAAGGCAGCUAACGAAGCUGUAAACUGACGCUGGAGGCUCGGAAAAGUGCGGGGACUCAAACAGGA
rnacentral:rRNA from 1 species